rnacentral:rRNA from 1 species
AUAUUAAUAAGCGGAGGAAAAGAAACUAACUAGGAUUCCCCCAGUAACGGCGAGUGAAGCGGGAUGAGCUCAAGCUUAAAAUCUCUGUGUCAGUUUGGCAUGGCGAAUUGUAGUCUAUAGAGGCGGCGUCAGUGCAGGCAUUCGGGGUAAGUUCCUUGGAAGAGGGCAGCAUCGAGGGUGAUACUCCCGUUUGUACCUGAGUGCUUGUGCGUACGACCCGUUUUCUUUGAGUCGCGUUGUUUGGGACUGCAGCGCAAAGUAGGUGGUAAAUUCCAUCUAAAGCUAAAUAUUGGUGCGAGACCGAUAGCGCACAAGUA